AUAAAAUAAUUAUGUUUUUGGAAAUUUAUUAUAAAUUUAUUUUACAUAUAAAUUUUAGUAUAUAAUUUUAAUUAUUUAAAUAAUAAUUAAUUUAAUUUAGUAGUAAUUAAUAUUAAAAAUUUAAGAAAUUAAGAUUUAGUAAUAUAAAAAUUAAUAACUAAUUUUGUGCCAGCAGUUGCGGUUAAACAAAAGUUAAAUUAAAUUAUUUCAGUUUAUAAUAAAUAAUUAAAUUAUUAAAUUAAAUAUUAAAUUAUUAAGUGAAAUUUUAAUUUAAUUAAAUUUUAUUUAAAAAUUAUGAUUUAGUAAAUUUUAAUAUAAACUAGGAUUAGAUACCCUAUUAUUAAAAAUUUAAUUUAUAAUACUAAAAUAGUAAAUAAUAAUUUAUUGAAACUUAAAUAAUAUGGCGGUAUUUUAGUUCAUUUAGAGGAAUCUGUCUAAUAAUUGAUAAUCCACGAAUAAAUUUACUUAAUUUAUAAUUUUGUAUAUCAUUGUUAAAAAAAUAUUUUUUAGGAAAAAUAAUAUUUAAAAAUUAAAAUUAAAAAUUAAAUCAGAUCAAGAUGCAGAAUAUAAUUAAGAAUAUGAUGGAUUACAUUAAAUAUAUUUAAAUGGAUAAUUUUAUUGUAAUAAAAAUUUGAAGGUGGAUUUAAAUGUAAUUUUAAUUAGUUUAUUAAAAUGAUUAAAAAUUAAAAUAUGUACAUAUUGCCCGUCACUUUCAUUUAAAAAUUGAAAUAAGUCGUAACAAAGUAGAGGUACUGGAAAGUGUUUCUAGAAAGA
rnacentral:ncRNA from 1 species